UUAAAUGGGUAGUUAUCUACAGUCUCCUAGUUAACAGUUAGGUGCCUCUCGGUCUUUGGCUUCCAUUUA
rnacentral:tRNA from 1 species